GAGAAGUCUCUGCUUAUACCUUUUGAAGAGAUUUUUAUGGGAGAGCCACAUAGUAUUUCUAUUUCCAUCUUACUGGCUGAGACACGGUCACCUGUGACUACAGGGGUGGUGGUGGUAUAAUCUUGUGGUUGGUUAGCAGCAUACACAGCUGAAAAUCAGGAUUCUGCUGCUGAGAAAGUUGGACGACAAGCCACACCCUCGUCCUAGUAAGGGAGAGAAACUUAAACUUGCCAAGUAAAAGUAACUCAGACCCUUCCUGUUUAAGACAGCUGUUUUCAGCCCUUUACAACACAGAAUUUUCCAGCCACAGACGUCAUGAGUGCCCUCGUCUGUAAACUCUUCCAUCGCAUGCCACCUGAUCAGAGCAAGGACUUGGAAAGCAUCUCACCGAAACCAAAGACGGCGUACAAACUCCUGGAGCCUUGGAGGGUGGUGGUAAAGAGCCCAGCAGAGCUCACACUCUGACCUGGAGACGCUCCUUCCAGCAAUUCAUAAAGAUACACAGACAAGGAUAAUGGCUAACAUACUGCUGCUAAAAAAGAGAGUGGAAAGGAACCUGAAAUACCCAUCAAUAGAAUGGAUACAUACAUAAAAAUGCUAUGGAGCUAUUCUACAAAGUUGAUGUACAUUCAUACAGAUUAAUACGGAAUGGUAUCAAUAAGAAAGUAAAAAAGCCACAAUUCUCCAGGUGAUAUGAGCCUAUUAACAUAUGCAUGCAUGCAUAUACAUGUGUAUACAAUUAUUGAUAAAUGACAA